rnacentral:rRNA from 1 species
CGUGUAGGUUGUCCGGCCAGUCGGGUGUGAAAUCCUAUGGCUCAACCAUAGAACUGCAUUCGAUACUACCGGACUGGAGUCCAAGAGAGGGAAGCGGAAUUCCCAGUGUAGGAGUGAAAUCCGUAGAUAUUGGGAGGAACACCAGCAGCGAAAGCGGCUUCCUGGCUUGGCACUGACACUGAGACGCGAAAGCGUGGGGAGCAAACA